UACGUAGGGUGCGAGCGUUAAUCGGAAUUACUGGGCGUAAAGCGUGCGUAGGCGGUUCGCUGUGUCCGAUGUGAAAGCCCCGGGCUUAACCUGGGAAUGGCAUUGGAAACUGGCGGGCUUGAGUGCGGCAGAGGGGGGUAGAAUUCCACGUGUAGCAGUGAAAUGCGUAGAGAUGUGGAGGAAUACCGAUGGCGAAGGCAGCCCCCUGGGCCAAUACUGACGCUCAUGCACGAAAGCGUGGGGAGCAAACAGG
rnacentral:rRNA from 1 species